UACGAAGGGGGCUAGCGUUGCUCGGAAUCACUGGGCGUAAAGCGCACGUAGGCGGAUUGUUAAGUCAGGGGUGAAAUCCUGGAGCUCAACUCCAGAACUGCCUUUGAUACUGGCGAUCUUGAGUCCGGAAGAGGUGAGUGGAACUCCGAGUGUAGAGGUGAAAUUCGUAGAUAUUGGGAAGAACACCGGUGGCGAAGGCGGCAACCUGGUC
rnacentral:rRNA from 1 species